ACGCUCGACACCUACGGAGGCAGCAGUGGGGAAUAUUGCACAAUGGGGGAAACCCCGAUGCAGCGACGCCGCGUGGAGGAAGAAGGUCUUCGGAUUGUAAACUCCUGUUGUUGGGGAAAAAGAGGAUGGUACCCAACAAGGAAGUGACGGCUAACUACGUGUCAGCAGCCGCGGUAAUCUGAGCGGGCUGGCAAGGC
rnacentral:rRNA from 1 species